UGGGGAAUUUUGGACAAUGGGCGAAAGCCUGAUCCAGCAAUGCCGCGUGUGUGAAGAAGGCCUUCGGGUUGUAAAGCACUUUUGUCCGGAAAGAAAUCCUUGGCUCUAAUACAGUCGGGGGAUGACGGUACCGGAAGAAUAAGCACCGGCUAACUACGUGCCAGCAGCCGCGGUAAUACGUAGGGUGCAAGCGUUAAUCGGAAUUACUGGGCGUAAAGCGUGCGCAGGCGGUUUGCUAAGACCGAUGUGAAAUCCCCGGGCUCAACCUGGGAACUGCAUUGGUGACUGGCAGGCUAGAGUAUGGCAGGAGGGGGGUAGAAUUCCACGUGUAGCAGUGAAAUGCGUAGAGAUGUGGAGGAAUACCGAUGGCGAAGGCAGCCCCCUGGGCCAAUACUGACGCUCAUGCACGAAAGCGUGGGGAGCAAACAGGAUUAGAUACCCUGGUAGUCCACGCCCUAAACGAUGUCAACUAGUUGUUGGGGAUUCAUUUCCUUAGUAACGUAGCUAACGCGUGAAGUUGACCGCCUGGGGAGUA
rnacentral:rRNA from 1 species